GCAACAUCGGCUAUCAACAUUACUUAUCAAUGUGCCAUCAGCCUGCUCCAGUCGCAGAAGGAAAUGUUAGAGGAGAGUCGAGGGGCGAUGCGACUGUCAUUUCCGAAUUGACGGAUGG
rnacentral:sRNA from 1 species